rnacentral:rRNA from 1 species
AGUGAACGCUGGCGGUAGGCCUAACACAUGCAAGUCGAACGGCAGCACAGAGGAGCUUGCUCCUUGGGUGGCGAGUGGCGGACGGGUGAGGAAUACAUCGGAAUCUACUCUGUCGUGGGGGAUAACGUAGGGAAACUUACGCUAAUACCGCAUACGACCUACGGGUGAAAGCAGGGGAUCUUCGGACCUUGCGCGAUUGAAUGAGCCGAUGUCGGAUUGGCUAGUUGGCGGGGUAAAGGCCCACCAAGGCGACGAUCCGUAGCUGGUCCGAGAGGAUGAUCAGCCACACUGGAACUGAGACACGGUCCAGACUCCUACGGGAGGCAGCAGUGGGGAAUAUUGGACAAUGGGCGCAAGCCUGAUCCAGCCAUACCGCGUGGGUGAAGAAGGCCUUCGGGUUGUAAAGCCCUUUUGUUGGGAAAGAAAUCCAUCUGGUUAAUACCCGGGUGGGAUGACGGUACCCAAAGAAUAAGCACCGGCUAACUUCGUGCCAGCCGCCGCAGUAA